AUAUUCAGCAAGCAGCUGCUGCAAAAGCCAUUGGCAUUUUAGCCAAGGAGUCGGCCGCAGUGGCAGAAGAGCUGAUCCAGCUGGAAGUGGUGCACAGCCUGAUGGUGGCUAUGGGGAAUCAGGAUCACGCGGUCAGCCAGAGACACGCCAGCGUCUCCUUGGUGUAUUUUGUCCACACAUUUCCCUCUGUGGAGGAGACCGUGAGAUUGGCAGUAGGGGACACAUUGUUCCAGCUCUUUAUGGACAGUCCUGAGACAUGGUACACAAAAAUGGAUUCAUUCCAGGCUGAAAUACUGGCCUACAGUGGAGAGGACAGGCCCCAGGAGCUG